GAGUCUAGCAUGUGCGCGAGUCAUUGGGACUAGCGAAACCUAAAGGCGAAAUGAAAGUAAAGGUCCGCCUUGCGCGGACCUAGGGAGGAUGGGCCGUGUCACGAUGCGGCCCCGCACUCCCGGGGCGUCUCAUUCUCAUUGCGAGAAGAGGCGCACCCAGAGCGUACACGCCUGGGACCCGAAAGAUGGUGAACUAUGCCUGGUCAGGACGAAGUCAGGGGAAACCCUGAUGGAGGUCCGUAGCGAUUCUGACGUGCAAAUCGAUCGUCGGAACUGGGUAUAGGGGCGAAAGACUAAUCGAACCAUCUAGUAGCUGGUUCCCUCCGAAGUUUCCCUCAGGAUAGCUGGCGCUCGCUUUGCGAGUCUCAUCCGGUAAAGCGAAUGAUUAGAGGCAUUGGGGUCGAAACGGCCUCAACCUAUUCUCAAACUUUAAAUGGGUGAGAUCUCCGGCUUGCUUGAACGUGAAGCCGCGAGAUUUCGGAUCAGAGUGCCAAGUGGGCCACUUUUGGUAAGCAGAACUGGCGCUGUGGGAUGAACCAAACGCCGAGUUAAAGCGCCUAAAUCGACGCUUAUGGGAUACCAUGAAAGGCGUUGGUAACUUAAGACAGCAGGACGGUGGCCAU
rnacentral:rRNA from 1 species